GAUGAACGCUGGCGGCGUGCCUAAUACAUGCAAGUCGAGCGAACGGACGAGAAGCUUGCUUCUCUGAUUUUAGCGGCGGACGGGUGAGUAACACGUGGAUAACCUACCUAUAAGACUGGGAUAACUUCGGGAAACCGGAGCUAAUACCGGAUAAUAUUUUGAACCGCAUGGUUCAAAAGUGAAAGACGGUCUUGCUGUCACUUAUAGAUGGAUCCGCGCUGCAUUAGCUAGUUGGUAAGGUAACUGCUUACCAAGGCAACGAUGCAUAGCCGACCUGAGAGGGUGAUCGGACAAACUGGAACUGAGACACGGCACAGACUCCUAGGGGAGGAAGCAGUAGGGAAUCUUCCGCGAUGGGCGAAAGCCUGACGGAGCAACGCCGCGUGAGUGAUGAAGGUCUUCGGAUCGUAAAACUCUGUUAUUAGGGAAGAACAUAUGUGUAAGUAACUGUGCACAUCUUGACGGUACCUAAUCAGAAAGCCACGGCUAACUCCGUG
rnacentral:rRNA from 1 species